UAACCACCAAUAGAAUGGUCUUCCUAUGC
rnacentral:piRNA from 1 species